rnacentral:rRNA from 1 species
AGUUUGAUCAUGGCUCAGAUUGAACGCUGGCGGCAUGCCUUACACAUGCAAGUCGAACGGCAGCACGGGGUGCAACCCUGGUGGCGAGUGGCGAACGGGUGAGUAAUACAUCGGAACGUAUCCUGUAGCGGGGGAUAACCUCUCGAAAGAGAGGCUAAUACCGCAUACGACCCAAGGGUGAAAGAGGGGGAUCGCAAGACCUCUCACUAUUGGAGCGGCCGAUGUCGGAUUAGCUAGUUGGCGGGGUAAAAGCCCACCAAGGCUACGAUCCGUAGCUGGUCUGAGAGGACGACCAGCCACACUGGAACUGAGACACGGUCCAGACUCCUACGGGAGGCAGCAGUGGGGAAUUUUGGACAAUGGGCGCAAGCCUGAUCCAGCCAUGCCGCGUGAGUGAAGAAGGCCUUCGGGUUGUAAAGCUCUUUCGGCGGGGACGAAAAGAUUCGCGUUAACACCGCGGAUCCAUGACGGUACCCGCAGAAGAAGCACCGGCUAACUACGUGCCAGCAGCCGCGGUAAUACGUAGGGUGCAGGCGUUAAUCGGAAUUACUGGGCGUAAAGCGUGCGCAGGCGGUCUUUUAAGUCAGAUGUGAAAUCCCCGGGCUUAACCUGGGAACUGCGUUUGAAACUGGAAGGCUAGAGUGUGGCAGAGGGGGGUGGAAUUCCACGUGUAGCAGUGAAAUGCGUAGAUAUGUGGAGGAACACCGAUGGCGAAGGCAGCCCCCUGGGCUA